UACAGAGGUGGCGAGCGUUGUUCGGAUUUACUGGGCGUAAAGGGUGCGUAGGUGGCUUCGUGUGUCGGAUGUGAAAGCUCACUGCUUAACGGUGAAACGGCAUUCGAAACUGCGAGGCUUGAGUGCAGGAGAGGAGAGCGGAAUUCUUGGUGUAGCGGUGGAAUGCGUUGAUAUCAAGAAGAACACCGGUGGCGUAGGCGGCUCUCUAGAAUGACACUGACACUGAGGCACGAAAGUUGGGGGAG
rnacentral:rRNA from 1 species